UUGUGCAAGAUGGAUGUAAAAUGGAUGCUUCAGCUGUCCUUUAUACCGGUGUUAAAUCAUCAGCACGUGCUUCAGUUGCAAUGUUGCACCGGAAAGAGAUAAGGGGCGAAUUGUCUGGGCACGCCAGCUGGGUGGGGAGCUUGCAAGUUAAAAGGAAUAGAGAAAUCGAGGGAGGAAUCUGUCUUAGGUCACAAAAAACAAUCAUUCAGAGCUUGUUGGUUGAAAUCAUAAGCUACAUGCCUGAUGCCACCGCCAUCCUUUCCCGUCGGAUCAAGUAAUAUCUCCUCUCUUCUCUUUCCCUUGACUUGAUGUUGACCGUUUUCUUUUCUAUCUGGGUAUCUUAUGCAAUCGAUGACGUUGGAAUAUGGAAAAUAUUAAAUAAUAAGAAAAUCACAAGUUGGGGUUCUGCUGUA